CAAAAGCAUCUAAAGCCGAGUAGAUGGAGGCAAUAUAAAAACAUUAUAUCUCAAUAAUGUUCAUAACGCAAAAUUUGUUUCAAUCUAUACCAACAAUUUAUUUUCAUCAAAAUUUCCCAGCUUAUGAAUUUCUUAAACUUGGCCCCUUCCAGAAUCAUUCUCGCGGGUACCUUCGUCAAGGUAUCCCACUGAGACCGCCAAGGCUGUUAAAUAUCCCAUACCCAUAAACAUGUUUUCACAUCUGACACACAGUCGUUCCUUGGCGUUAGCUGAGUCUCACUCUCACGUGGUGGCCCGAACGUGAGGUGCACUCAAAUCAUACCUCAGGAGAUACUUCACCCAACAUCUCCCCCCGGAGGUAAGUAUAUAAUUGAGUUAUCGUGCCCCUCUCAUAGGCAGUCCACGGAAACCCCCACCACUGCAGUGAUCGUUUAAUAUACCACCAGACCCAUAAAAUUUCCAGUAGCAUAAUAUGUCGAAUAAAAUUUAAUCUAGUCUACCGAGACCAAUCCAAAACUAUUCAUAUAUUUCAUGCCAAUCCCAAAAAUUUAGCCAUCAUGCUACCAUAGUGUCAUAAGCCAUAAUUUCAAUAACAUAUAAAAUCGUAAAUUCAACACAGUCUCCAUAUACUCAAUUUUCCCAAAACAAUAUUUGAUUUCAAAACUAGUAUAAAU
rnacentral:lncRNA from 1 species